UUGGAAACGCUACACAGAAAGAAAGAAAGAAAGAAAGAAAAGGGCUUGUAAGAAAGAAAGCAAAGCGAGAGUGAAGUCUACUUCAAUUCUUCCCAUUAUUCUCCCAAAUUCUCGUUAAUUUCCGUUACAUUUCUUGUUUGAUCUUCACGUUUUUACAUAUAAUAUUAUCCGCAAUUUGAUGCUUUUCCCUUAAAUGAGUCGUUUAGGGUUUAAUAAUAAAUCUGUGGUUUACCAUGGAGAAGCUUGUUUGGGUGAAUUGGAUGUUAUUCCUACCGCGGAUAAGACUUUCCACUUCCCAAACAACGAGAUUCGUAUUCAUCAUUUCUCCCAGCUCAGUGAAAGAUGCCCCCCUCUCUCAGUUCUCUUAGCAAUCUCAUCGCUUCCCGUUCGUUGCAAGCUCGAAUCAUCUUCACCCGUUAAACAACCGCUUCUCGAUCUCCACGCCGCUUGUUUCUACGAACUAAAGACGGCUGUGGUGGUGAUUGGAGAUGAAGAGGUGCAUUUAGUGGCAAUGCCGAGUAAAUUAAAGCGGUUUCCGUGUUUCUGGUGUUGUUUGGUUCCGUCUCGGUUGUACAAUGCUUGCUUAGGGAUGUUGAACAUGAGGUGUCUUUCUAUCGUGUUUGAUCUUGAUGAGACGCUUAUUGUUGCGAAUACGAUGAGGUCCUUUGAAGAUAGGAUUGAGGUUUUGACUGGUUGGAUUGGGCAGGAGUCGGAUCCUGUUCGUGUUUCUGGGAUGACUUCUGAGCUUAAGAGAUAUGUGGAGGAUCGGGCGUUGUUGAAGCAGUAUGCUGAGAAUGAUGUGGUUACGGACAGUGGGCAGACGUAUAAUGUGAAACUGGAGGAUGUUCCUGUGAAUGCUGCUGGUAAUGAGCGUGUUCAGCGGCCCGUUAUAAGAUUGCCGGAAAAAAAUGUAGUCUUAACCCGUAUUAAUCCAGAGAUUCGUGAUACCAGUGUGCUUGUGAGAUUACGGCCUGCAUGGGAAGAUUUAAGAAGCUAUUUGAUUGCAAAAGGACGCAAAAGAUUUGAAGUUUUUGUGUGCACUAUGGCUGAAAGAGAUUAUGCCUUGGAGAUGUGGAGGUUGUUAGACCCUGGGGCCCACCUAAUUGGUCCCAAGCAACUGUUGACUCGUGUUGUAUGCGUCAAAUCAGGUGCACGCAAGUCUUUGCUGAAUGUCUUCCAAGAUAGGAAUUGUCAUCCAAGGAUGGCCAUGGUGAUUGAUGAUAGGUUAAAGGUUUGGGAAGAAAAGGAUCAACCUCGAGUUCAUGUGGUACCUGCUUUCACUCCUUAUUAUGCUCCACAAGCAGAGACGGCAAGCGCUGUUCCAGUUCUUUGUGUAGCAAGGAAUGUUGCAUGCAACGUUAGAGGUGGUUUCUUCAAAGAAUUUGAUGAGAAUCUUAUAAGGAGAGUUUCUGAACACUUUCAUGAAGAUGAAGUUUUGAAUCUACCACCUGCACCAGAUGUUUGCAACUAUCUUAUGUCAGAGGAUGCUAGUUUUGUACCAAAUGGUAAUACAAGUGCCCCAAUGGCAGAUGGAAUGAAUGGUCCUGAAGUUACUCAAAGACUGAAUCAGCAGGAUGCUAGAAAUGUUGACCUAAAAUCUGAGAGAUCCCAGCCGUUAGUUCCAACUGCAAGUAUCUACGGUCCACCAUCUUUCAGAUCGAUGAUGCCUUCCGAUAAACCUAGCUUACUGGGCCCUAUCCAAGGACCUGAGAUAGCAAGCAGACAGCGAGCUGGUUAUCAUCCCCUGUCUCAUGGUAUAGCUAGUUCUUUCUCUGCAGGGAUUCAACCACUCAUAUCAGAACCAAAGAAUGAUGAGGUAUUCCAUGGAUAUGGAUUGCAAAAGAAGAAUUUGCAACAAGCAGGUCAGCCAUCAGAUGUAGGUGUACCACAUAAUCCACCAUUUUUAAAUAACAAAAGGGGGCCAACUGAUAGUGGAAAUUCGAACCUGCUACAACCAUCUUUAUCGGUAGGAGUACUGCAGGAAAUAGGACAAAGAUGUGGUUCUAAGGUUGAAUAUAGAUCCAUCUUGAGCUCUAGCAGGGAUUGGCCGUUCUCUUAUGAGGUGUUAUUCACUGGUGAGAAAGUAGGCGUUGGGAUGGGUAAGACCCGGAAAGAUGCACAACAACAGGCUGCUGAAAAUGCCCUUCGCAGCCUAGCUGACAAAUAUGUAGCACACGUGAUCUCCCAAUCAGAAACAGUGAAGAAAGAUCCUGAUAAUGAAGUGGAAAAUGGAUUUUUAUGGGAAUCUGAUGCAGAUGAAUCACCUGUGAAAGAUGCAUCGGAGGUUGUGCUUGGAUAAAGGGUAUUUUGGCCAGACCUCCAGAUAGCACUGUUUGGGUUGCAUCCUUGAUCCUCUUAAUGAAGGUUGCUGAAAUGAGGCGUUCCUCCAAUUCAACGGGACAGCUUGUUCAGAAGUCGAAUCACUAAGGUUACCGAGAUCGGUUGAAGUUUCUCCAGAUUCAAAGAGAGUGAUAACAUGCAGAAUGGGGUGGUGAUACGAGUUAACCUCAACAACUUAACUAGUGGAUGUUGUUGAUACAAAGAAAGUGGAAAUCACGAGGUUUAGGGUUUGUAAGUAUUAUUGCCUUGAUAAGGUACCUCCUUUUGGGGUUUUAACCUUGUAAAUUACUUGUUGUUGUUUAAGAACAGGGAAAAGGAAUAUUAGUUCCUUCUUGAGUAAAACAAGUGCCGCCAUUUGGAGACAAUUUUUGACUGGCGGCUAGUAUAGUAGAUAUGCAUGCUUACGUCAGUCACUAUUGAUCUUAUUUUAUAAGCUCAAGGUGUAUGAAAAGAGGUAGCAGCCUGAAAACCCAAGUGAAACUGUGAGGAUAAGGAUGUUUACACUCAUUAUUGCUUGUCACAAUUUAAUGACCCAAAAUUCAAUUUGUAAAACAGUUACAAUUUUACAUGACUACAUACAAUUUAAUUUUGAGACCUUUUUUCA